ACAUGCAUACAACAUAGUGUUAAUGCAUUAGAUCCCAUUAGAACUCCGUAGUUAAGCGCAAUCAUGCUAGAGUAGUACUGGAAUGGGUGACCACCCAAGAAUUCCUAGUGUUUUACAUGCC
rnacentral:rRNA from 1 species